UACGAAGGGGGCUAGCGUUGCUCGGAAUCACUGGGCGUAAAGCGCACGUAGGCGGCUUUUUAAGUCAGAGGUGAAAUCCUGGAGCUCAACUCCAGAACUGCCUUUGAUACUGGAGUGCUUGAGUCCGGGAGAGGUGAGUGGAACUGCGAGUGUAGAGGUGAAAUUCGUAGAUAUUCGCAAGAACACCAGUGGCGAAGGCGGCUCACUGGCCGGUACUGACGCUGAGGUGCGAAAGCGUGGGGAGCAAACAGG
rnacentral:rRNA from 1 species